rnacentral:rRNA from 1 species
ACAAAGAGCAGCAAGUUCGCGAGGACAAGCAAAUCUCAUAAACCGUGGCUCAGUUCAGAUCGUAGGCUGCAACUCGCCUACGUGAAGGAGGAAUCGCUAGUAAUCGCAGGUCAGCAUACUGCGGUGAAUACGUUCCCGGGCCUUGUACACACCGCCCGUCACACCAUGGAAGUUGGCCACGCCCGAAGUCGUUACUCCAACCCUCUGGGAGGAGGACGCCGAAGGUGGGGCUGAUGACUGGGGUGAAGUCGUAACAAGGUAGCCGUACCGGAAGGUGCGGCUGGAUCACCUCCUAAC